GGGCGGACGCCACCGGCUCUAACCGGAUUCAGCCGGUCUUGGCUGCCUUCCUGGAGCGGAGGCAUUUGCCGCAGCGCCUCAGUGCGCAGGCGCACCCCGCCCCCAACGCCUGUCCUGUUCGAGAUAGUGGCGUGGGGGCUGGGUGACAAUCGGGAGGUGGCUGAGGGGCUGCAGAGUUGCCCUCUUCUGCCAAGCCACAGUUCUUGGGGCUUCGUCUUUCUUCCGCGGAGAUUCUGCUUUCAAGUCUUUUCAGCCUAGUAUCUUACUAUGUAGGUCAGGAUGGCCUGGAACUCCACAUCCUCCUGCCUCAGCCUCCUGGGAGUCCUGGGAUUGCAGGCUGAACCGCCACUGGCUUCCUGUGGUCCCCCUACUGCGCACUAUGAGGCUGCAUAAGCAAGUUUGUCCUGUGCCCGGCUCCAUUCCUGUACAGGUGUUGAACACUGUGGUAGCUCUUCCAUCCCUUAUAACAAUGAGGGGCAGGUCCUGCUGUUACUUCUUCAGACAGACAAGGAAACUGAGACAGAGGCUGAGGCUGAGAGGCAUUAAUGCCUGGCACACAUUAGGGGGCUCAGGAAAUGUCUAGAGAAAUGACUAAAUAAGUACACUGGACUUGUAUUUCUUCUGUUAUUUAAACACAUACAGAGCCAGGUGUAGUGGGGCUCACCCAUAAGACCAGCACUGUGAAAAAAAAUAAAAACAGACCAGCACUGUGGCAGCUGGGGCAGUAGGAUUACAAGUUUGAGUCCAGAAUGGACUAUAUAGUGAGACUGUCUCAAAAAAAAAAAAAAAAAAAGAGCAAAGUAAAAAUCAGGAGGCUGAGGAAAGAGGAUUGCCUCGAGUUCGAGGCCAGCCUGAGCCACAUAGUGAGUUCAACAUAACAAGCCCCUGUCUCAAAAAACAAAAAUAGAGCCUGGUGUGAUGGCACCCAACUGUGAUCUCAGGACUAAGGAGGCUGAGGCAGGAGGAUUGUAAUGAGUUUGAGCCCAGCCUGGGCUACACAGUGAGUUCGAGGCCAGCCUGAACUACAUAGCAAGACCCUGUCACAAAAAAACAAACAAAUAAAUAAAACCACAGUGGGCACAUGGUUGCAUGUGUGUGUGGUCCCACCUACUCUGUGGAGGCUCGAUCAGGAAGAUCACAGCAGUCCAAGAGUUUGAGACCAGCCUGGCAAUGUAGCAAGACUCUGUCUCAAAAAAAAUUUUUUUUAAAUUACAAAUCAGGGGCCGGCUAUUUAGCUCAGUGUUUUCGUUGCCUGCUUUGCAAGCGCAAGGACCCAAGUUUGAACCCUGGUACCA